GCUCCCUUAGCUCAAUGGUUAGAGCAUCGGCCUGUCGAGCCGACGGCUGCGGGUUCGAAUCCCGUAGGGGGCG
rnacentral:tRNA from 1 species